rnacentral:rRNA from 1 species
CGAACGCUGGCGGCGCGUUUUAGCAUGCAAGUCGAACGGUAGUACAGAGCUUGCUCUGUAUGAGAGUGGCGAACGGGUGAGUAACACGUAGGUAAUCUACCUUUGGAUUGGGGAUAGCCCAUGGAAACAUGGGGUAAUACCGAAUAAAUCGUAUACCGUAGAGGUAAACGGGAAAGGCGCUUUGGCGCCGUCCGAGGAUGAGCCUGCGGCUUAUUAGUUAGUUGGUAGGGUAACGGCCUACCAAGGCGACGAUAAGUAGCCGGCCUGAGAGGGUGAACGGCCACACUGGGACUGAGACACGGCCCAGACUCCUACGGGAGGCAGCAGCUAAGAAUCUUCCGCAAUGGACGCAAGUCUGACGGAGCGACGCCGCGUGGGUGAAGAAGGCCGAAAGGUUGUAAAGCCCUUUUCUUGCUGAAGAAUAAGGGCAGGAGGGAAUGCCUGUCCGAUGACGUUAGGUGAGGAAUAAGCCCCGGCCAAUUACGUGCCAGCAGCCGCGGUAACACGUAUGGGGCGAGCGUUGUUCGGAAUCAUUGGGCGUAAAGGGCGCGCAGGCGGUUAAAUAAGCCUGGUGUGAAAGGCUACGGCUCAACUGUAGUUUCGCGCUGGGAACUGUUUGACUAGAGUUCUGGAGGGGAAGCUGGAAUUCCUGGUGUAGGGGUGAAAUCUGUAGAUAUCAGGAAGAACACCGGUGGCGAAGGCGAGCUUCUAGCCAAGAACUGACGCUGAGGCGCGAAAGCGUGGGGAGCGAACAGGAUUAGAUACCCUGGUAGUCCACGCUGUAAACGAUGUGCACUGGGUGUUGGCCCUUGAGGGUCAGUGCCGAAACUAACGCGAUAAGUGCACCGCCUGGGGAGUAUGCUCGCAAGGGUGAAACUCAAAGGAAUUGACGGGGGCCCGCACAAGCGGUGGAGCAUGUGGUUUAAUUCGAUGAUACGCGAGAAACCUUACCAGGGCUUGACAUAUACCAGACGUCACGAGAGAUCGUGAUUCCCUUCGGGGCUGGUAUA